rnacentral:rRNA from 1 species
AGUGAACGCUGGCGGUAGGCCUAACACAUGCAAGUCGAACGGCAGCACAGUAAGAGCUUGCUCUUACGGGUGGCGAGUGGCGGACGGGUGAGGAAUACAUCGGAAUCUACUUUUUCGUGGGGGUUAACGUAGGGAAACUUACGCUAAUACCGCAGACGACCUACGGGGGAAAGCAGGGGAUCGUCUGACCUUGCGGGGUUGAAUGAGCCGAUGUCGGAUUAGCUAGUGGGCGGGGGAAAGGCCCACCAAGUCGAGGAUCGGUAUCCGGUCUGGGUGGCUGGUCACCCACCCUGGAACUGGGCCACCGUCCAGACUACUACGGGAGGCACCAGUGGGGAAUGUUGGACAAUGGUCGCGAGCAUGAUCCAGCCGUCCCGCGUCGGUUACGGAGGCCUUCGGGUUGUAAAGCCGUUUUGUUGGUAAAGAACCGCAGCAGGUUAAUACCACGCUGUUCUGACGGUACCCAAAGAAUAAGCACCGGCUAACUUCGUG